UUUACAAAGCAAGUGACAGAGAUUGUACAGAGUGUCUGGACACCCCUCCCCCAGCUUCACCUCAUGCUGGCAUCUCAGCACCAUGGCACUUUUAUCAAAACUAAGAGAACAACAUUGAUGCAGUCCUGUGAACUACAGACUUCAGUUGCCUUUCCCAACAUCUAGUCCACUUAGCUUUGUGUAGGGUUUUUUCAAAGUGAAAAUGCCCCAUGAAUUCCUUUCUGCAGACUGUGCAGAGGAACUGCAUUCUUAGCCUUGACACCUGGGGACAGCAGAGCGAUGACAAAGAGGACCUUGUUCUGAUGCCGGCCCCGCCUCCACCGGGCUUUCCCCAGAAGUGCAGUUGUGGAGGCUGGCGCCCAUGCGGCUCUACACGCUCUCCAAGCGCCACUUUGUCCUCGUGUUUGUUGUCUUCUUCGUCUGUUUUGGCCUGACCGUCUUCGUCGGGAUCAGAGGGCCCAAAGUAAUCCAGACUUCUGCAGCUAAUUUUUCACUAAAUAAUAGUAAAAAGGUAAGACUGCGUCGAAGGGGUGGCUGGCGGGGCCUUAGUCACUUCUGGGUCACUUGGGAUCCUUGGGGCACACACCACCCUGGCCGUGCAGCUUGCUUCUUAGGCAGCACGCAUAUCUCACCCGUGGUCAGCUGCUGGCUUCUGGCCUCUCGUUUGCGAGAAGGACCUUCUCUGCUGCGGUAAUAGCGCAGCCUGGAGAGGAUGGUGCUGUCAGCUCAGGGAGCAGCAGUUGCUUUCCAAAUACCAGUCGACUCACCCUGAUUCCUCAUGCCCUCAAGUCUUCCUAGACCGUAAGUUCUGGCAGUGCUCCCUUGGACCAUUCCUUACUGCAUUUACGCAAGUUAAUGC